AGUGAACGCUGGCGGUAGGCCUAACACAUGCAAGUCGAACGGCAGCACAGUAAGAUCUUUCUCUUACUGUUGGCGAGUGGCGGACGGGUGAGGAAUACAUCGGCAUCUACUUUUUCUUGGGGGAUAACGUAGGGCAACUUAUGCUAAUACCUCAUACUUCCUACGGGUUAAAUCAGGGGUUCUUCGGACUUUUCCUGUUACUUUUAGCUGAUGUCGGAUUAGCUAGUUGGCGGGGUAAGGGCCCACCAAGGCGACGAUCCGUAGCUGGUCUGAGAGGAUGAUCAGCCACACUGGAACUGAGACACGGUCCAGACUCCUACGGGAGGCAGCAGUGGGGAAUAUUGGACAAUGGGCGAAAGCCUGAUCCAGCCAUACCGCGUGGGUGAAGAAGGCCUUCGGGUUGUAAAGCCCUUUUGUUGGGAAAGAAAAGAAGCAGGUUAAUACCCCGCUGUUCUGACGGUACCCAAAGAAUAAGCAACGGCUAACUUCGUG
rnacentral:rRNA from 1 species